rfam:Otolemur garnettii contig163324, whole genome shotgun sequence.
GUCUAUAGCCAUACCACCCUGAACAUGCCCAAUCUUGUCUGAUCUCAGAAGUUAAGCAGUGUUGGGCCUGGUUAGUACUUGGAUGGGACACAGUAGCUUCAAAGA